AUUGAACGCUGGCGGCAGGCCUAACACAUGCAAGUCGAGCGAGCGGCAGACGUGUGCGUAAUGUAUGGGGCCUGCCUUAUGGCGGGGGAUCACUACUGGAAACGGUAGCUAAUACCGCAUACCAUCAUAUCACCCAUAUGGGAUUAGCUAGUAGGUGAGGUAAUGGCUCACCUAGGCGACGAUCCCUAGCUGGUCUGAGCGGAUGAUCAGCCACACUGGAACUGAGACACGGUCCAGACUCCUACGGAGGCAGCAGUGGGGAAUAUUGCACAAUGGGCGCAAGCCUGAUACAGCCAGGCCGCGUGUAUGAAGAAGGCCCUAGGGUUGUAAAGUACGUUCAGUGGGGAGGCGUUACCAGAAGAAGAAGCACCGGCUAACUCCGUGCCAGCAGCCGCGGUAAUUC
rnacentral:rRNA from 1 species